rnacentral:ncRNA from 1 species
GUGUUGUAUGAAAGGAGAGAAGGUUAGCACUCCCCUUGACAAGGAUGGAAAUGGCCCCCUGGGGCCUGCAACACGCAUACGGUUAAGGCACUGCCACUUACUUCGUGGCAUCUCUAACCAAGUUUUUUU